rnacentral:rRNA from 1 species
GACGAACGUUGGCGGCGUGCUUAAUACAUGCAAGUCCACUGAAGCAGUGGUAGCAAUCUCGCUGUGGAGGUGGCGCACGGGUGAGUAACACGUGGGUAAUCUGCCUUCAGGUCUGGCAUAACUCCGGGAAACCGGGGCUAAUAGCAGAUGAUGCAGCGGCUCGACAUCGAGACAGUUGUUAAAGCUAUGGCGCCUGAAGAUGAGCCUGCGUCUGAUUAGCUAGUUGGCGGGGUAACGGCCCACCAAGGCAACGAUCAGUAGCUGGUCUGAGAGGAUGAUCAGCCACACUGGAACUGAGACACGGUCCAGACUCCUACGGGAGGCAGCAGUAAGGAAUAUUGCUCAAUGGGAGAAAUCCUGAAGCAGCAACGCCGCGUGAGGGACGAAGGGCUUUUGCUUGUAAACCUCUGUAGUGAGAGAAAAAAAUCCCAAUCUGUGGGACAUGAUGGUAUCUCAAAAGUAAGCCCCGGCUAACUACGU